rnacentral:rRNA from 1 species
GAUGAACGCUAGCGGCAGGCUUAACACAUGCAAGUCGAGGGGUAUAGUUCUUCGGAACUAGAGACCGGCGCACGGGUGCGUAACGCGUAUGCAAUCUACCUUUUACAGAGGGAUAGCCCAGAGAAAUUUGGAUUAAUACCUCAUAGUAUUACGAUGUGGCAUCACAUUUUAAUUAAAGUUCCAACGGUAAAAGAUGAGCAUGCGUCCCAUUAGCUAGAUGGUAAGGUAACGGCUUACCAUGGCGACGAUGGGUAGGGGUCCUGAGAGGGAGAUCCCCCACACUGGUACUGAGACACGGACCAGACUCCUACGGGAGGCAGCAGUGAGGAAUAUUGGUCAAUGGACGCAAGUCUGAACCAGCCAUGCCGCGUGCAGGAUGACGGUCCUAUGGAUUGUAAACUGCUUUUAUACAGGAAGAAACACUCCCUCGUGAGGGAGCUUGACGGUACUGUAGGAAUAAGGAUCGGCUAACUCCGU